GACGAACGCUGGCGGCGUGCUUAACACAUGCAAGUCGAACGGAAAGGCCCUGCUUUUGUGGGUUGCUCGAGUGGCGAACGGGUGAGUAACACGCGAGUAACCUGCCCUUGACUUUGGGAUAACUUCAGGAAACUGGGGCUAAUACCGGAUAGGAGCUCCUGCUGCACGGUGGGGGUUGGAAAGUUUCGGCGGUUGGGGAUGGACUCGCGGCUUAGCAGCUUGUUGGUGGGGUAGUGGCUUACCAAGGCUUUGACGGGUAGCCGGCCUGAGAGGGUGACCGGCCACAUUGGGACUGAGAGACGGCGCAGACUCCUACGGGCGGCAGCGGUGGGAAAUCUGGCGCAAUGGGCGGAAGCCUGAUGCAGCGACGCCGGGUGCGGAAUGACGGCCUUCGGGUUGUAAACCGCUUUCGCCUGUAACGAAGCGUGAGUGACGGUAAUGGGUAAGAAAGCACCGGCUAACUACGUG
rnacentral:rRNA from 1 species